GAUGAACGCUGGCGGCGUGCCUAAUACAUGCAAGUCGAGCGAACGGACGAGAAGCUUGCUUCUCUGAUGUUAGCGGCGGACGGGUGAGUAACACGUGGAUAACCUACCUAUAAGACUGGGAUACCUUCGGGAAACCGUAGCUAGUACCGGAUAAUAUUUUGAACCGCGUGGUUCAAAAGUGAAAGACGGUCUUGCUGUCACUAAUAGAGGGUUCCGCGCUGCAUUAGCUAGUUGGUAAGGUAACGGCUUACCAAGGCAACGAUGCAUAGCCGACCUGAGAGGGUGAUCAGCCACACUGGAACUGAGACACGGUCCAGACUCCUACGGGAGGCAGCAGUAGGGAAUCUUCCGCAAUGGGCGAAAGCCUGACGGAGCAACGCCGCGUGAGUGAUGAAGGUCUUCGGAUCGUAAAACUCUGUUAUUAGGGAAGAACAUAUGUGUAAGUAACUGUGCACAUCUUGACGGUACCUAAUCAGAAAGCCACGGCUAACUACGUG
rnacentral:rRNA from 1 species